AUCAGGAUGGCCGAGUGGUUAAGGCGUUGGACUUAAGAUCCAAUGGACAUCAGCCCUCGUGGGUUCAAACCCCACUCCUGGUA
rfam:Oreochromis niloticus linkage group LG18, whole genome shotgun sequence.